AGUCGUAACAAGGUUUCCGUAGGUGAACCUGCGGAAGGAUCAUUACCGAAUUGUCAAACGGGUUGUUGCUGGUCCUUGAAAGGGGACAUGUGCACGCUCUGUUUACACAUCCACUCACACCUGUGCACCCUCCGUAGUUCUAUGGUCUGGGAGACCUUGUCUUCCUGCCGUGGUUCUACGUCUUUACACACACACUGUAACAAAGUCUUAAGGAAUGUAUGCAGCGUCUAACGCAAUACAAUACAACUUUCAGCAACGGAUCUCUUGGCUCUCGCAUCGAUGAAGAACGCAGCGAAAUGCGAUAAGUAAUGUGAAUUGCAGAAUUCAGUGAAUCAUCGAAUCUUUGAACGCACCUUGCGCCCCUUGGCUAUUCCGAGGGGCAUGCCUGUUUGAGUAUCAUGAACACCUCAACUCUCAUGGUUCGCCGUGAUGAGCUUGGACUCUGGGGGAUUUGCUGGCCUGCGGUCAGCUCCCCUCAAAUGAAUCAGCCUCCCAGUGUUUGGUGGCAUCACGGGUGUGAUAAAUAUCUACGCUCGUGGUUGCCUGCCAGGUAACCUUUGGUGACAAAGGUUUGCUGGAGCUUACAGAUGUCUCUCCUCAGCGAGGACAGCUUUUUGGACGUUCGAUCUCAAAUCAGGUAGGACUACCCGCUGAACUUAAGCAUAUCAAUAAGCGGAGGAAAAGAAACUAACAAGGAUUCCCCUAGUAACUGCGAGUGAAGCGGGAAGAGCUCAAAUUUAAAAUCUGGCGUGCCUCUGGU
rnacentral:rRNA from 1 species